AGUUUGAGCAAAUUCCGGGAGUUGGUGAAGGACAGGGAAGCCUGGUGUGCUGAAGUCCAUGGGGUCACAAAAAGCUGGACUGACCUAAACCUAAUCUCGGUUAUGUGAUUUAAUUCUUAUUACUGAACUUUGCAUUUUCUACUUCUGCAAUCCCUAUAUAAGACAUAAAAACCCAACCACACCAGAAUCCCCAUACCAGAAGAGUAGCUUUCAGAGAAGUCUGUGCAUAUUCCUUUAAUAAAUCUAGAAAAGACUGCCGAGUUUCCUCCAAUAUCUUUUAUUUCCUUAUUCCUCACUAAAAGGAUCCUGGAAUACAGGACUGCCAGAAUAAAGACUAUACUUCCCAGCCUCCUUGCAGCUGCAUUUGCCUGUUCAAGUACAUUUGGGCCAAAGAGAUAUGCAGCUGCCGCUGAAUGGUGAUAUGUUAAUAAGGUACUCACUUGCCUAUUCUUCAGGUACUCCGGCAUUCUCUACCUAGGUAAUCUCCAUAUAGGAAAAGCUAUUAGGGGGUUGUAUCUGCUACCACACCUUCAAUUAUAUUAACACCUGCACUGAUAAUCCAGUAAGGGAAAACUAUUGAUUAGGAAACUGUUGUUACGAAAACUCUGACAGACGCCAUUGAAAACAUACUGGCUUAUGGUAGUGAAACUUUGAAGCAAACUUUUAAGUUCUGAUUACUCUUAGCCUGGGCUACAUCUCUAUGCACCAGAGAAACGAUCUCAUUAACAAAGUAGUUCUGUGUGUCCUUAAUACUGAGGCCCUAGACUGCAGCUGGAGGCAGUUCUCUACUCAGCCCGCAGUGCCGAGUGACACAGGCAGGCGACAUCAUCUGAGUAGUAACUUCUACUACAUCCAGACAGACUGCGAGAACCAUUUCCAAAUCGUGGGAAGACGUCAGAGAACCAAAGGGGUGGCUGCAAAGUUUUGGACAAGACCUCUACAGGCAACUGGAAGCACAGUGUACCCAGGUGGUAGGGCUCGUCUGUGGCAAUAUAUUUUUCAGUCUGUCCAAUUGAAUAUGGCUGUAAAGGGAAUAAAACCCCAUGUAAUCUCCAGCAGUGACAAUUUAAUCAGUUGUGUAAGGGGAAGAAGCAGAGUCCCCUCAUUUUCAUAUUUGCAUAUUUGAUUUUUGCAUUGGGGAAUAGAGGUUAUGUGUUUCUAUUACUUUCCAUUUGAUUUUAAUAUUUAACCCUUUUAGGAGCAAAUUUCUUCCAAUGGUAGGUAAUAUUGAGUCAAGCUGGUCAAAAAUUAAGAUUUAAUUUUUCAAAUAAAGCUCUGGAUGCAGCA